rnacentral:misc_RNA from 1 species
AACGCACAUUGCGCCCGCCAGUAUUCUGGCGGGCAUGCCUGUUCGAGCGUCAUUUCAACCAUCAAGCCCCCGGCUUGUGUUGGGGACCUGCGGCGCGCCCGCAGGCCCUGAAAACCAGUGGCGGGCUCGCUGACCACACCGAGCGUAGUAGCUUUUCUGUCUCGCUCAGGGCGUGCGGCGGGUUCCGGCCGUGAAACCCACCCCCCAAGGGGUACCCAAAGGUUGACCUCGGAUCAGGUAGGAAGACCCGCUGAACUUAA